GGGGGCGCAAUGGUUUCGACGGGGGUAUGGGAUUCAUGAGAAGCGAGCCGAGGGCCCUGGACCCGCGUUAAAAAACUGGGAAUUAAAAUUAAUUGACGAAAAUUACGCUUUAGCUGCUUAAUUAACAGCAGCCGUCUUACUUGGAAGGCCUACGGUCCGGGAUAAGGCGUCGAUUUUGUAGGGAAACGAGCCGCUGAAAGCUUUGACAGCGGAACGGGAUUUUAUGAAGCUACCGAAGUAGAAGCCUGUUGGUAGGCGUCUACUAAGGGAAAUUUAAAAUAUCAACUGCGCUCGGAGAUGCUUAUGGGUGUCAGCUUUCGGACACGGGUUCGAUUCCCGUCGCCUCCACCA
rnacentral:tmRNA from 1 species